AACCUGGCGGCGUGCUUACACUGCAGUCCGAACGAACUUCGGGUUAGUGGCGGACGGGUGAGUAACGCGUGAGAAUCUGCCCUCAGGAGGGGGACAACAGCUGGAAACGGCUGCUAAUACCCCAUAUGCCGAGAGGUGAAACGAAUUUCGCCUGAGGAUGAGCUCGCGUCUGAUUAGCUAGUUGGUGUGGUAAAGGCGCACCAAGGCAUCGAUCAGUAGCUGGUCUGAGAGGAUGAUCAGCCACACUGGGACUGAGACACGGCCCAGACUCCUACGGGAGGCAGCAGUGGGGAAUUUUCCGCAAUGGGCGAAAGCCUGACGGAGCAACGCCGCGUGAGGGAUGAAGGCCUCUGGGCUGUAAACCUCUUUUCUCAAGGAAGAAGAUCUGACGGUACUUGAGGAAUAAGCCACGGCUAAUUCCGUGCCAGCAGCCGCGGUAAUACGGGAGUGGCAAGCGUUAUCCGGAAUUAUUGGGCGUAAAGCGUCCGCAGGCGGCCCAUCAAGUCUGCUGUUAAA
rnacentral:rRNA from 1 species